GUAUUUGCCUUAGAGCGUUUUCCAUUCAUCCGCGUUGAAUAUGCCCCAGUAUCGGACUAUCCCUUAUUUUUCAGGUGGAUGAAGAUAGUGUAUAAACCAUUCAAGCAAACUCAAACCGUUAAGGGGGUGAAAGCGUUUCUAGAUAGGUUUAGAGGAUUGAGGAAAGAAGAUGUAAGUACUUUUUUUUUGCUUUGGAAUAUUACAAUUGCGGUCCUUUUAAAAAAAAUUUAUUUUGUUUUAUUUUUGCAUAGGUCACUUGGCAACCAUAUAUAGAUAGACCAGCACAAUGUCAUACCUAUCAGCUAGACAUGAUUUAUGCAUAUGUGCCAUGCAUACAUUUUGCUGACAUAGCUUUAAAUCGGGCUGAUUUGUGUUAUGAACAACUGGGAUUGAGGAUGGAGGACCUUCGUAUGCCUUUGCCUACCAUAGAAAAAAGGAGAUAAUCUCUCAUAGCAAGCACAGAAAUGUCGAUUGGAGAGUGCACAAGGAAAAAUAUGGAUACCGGGAGUACAAUAAAAUAUGGACGGACCGGAACUCAUAUUUAGUGAUUCCACAGCAAGCCUCUCCUUCUCCCCAGCAAAGCUCUUC
rnacentral:lncRNA from 1 species